rnacentral:rRNA from 1 species
GAUGAACGCUGGCGGCGUGCCUAAUACAUGCAAGUCGAGCGAACGGACGAGAAGCUUGCUUCUCUGAUGUUAGCGGCGGACGGGUGAGUAACACGUGGAUAACCUACCUAUAAGACUGGGAUAACUUCGGGAAACCGGAGCUAAUCCCGGAUAAUAUUUUGAACCGCGUGGUUCAAAAGUGAAAUAUGGUCUUGCUGUCACUUAUAGCUGGAUCCGCGCUGCAUUAGCUAGUUGGUAAGGUAACGGCUUACCAAGGCAACGAUGCAUGUCCGACCGCAGGGGGGGAUCGCCCACACUGGAGCGGGACCGCGGACAUUGCUACUACGGUAGGCAGCAGUAUGCAAUCUUACGCAAUGGUCGAAAGCAUGACGGAGCAACGCCGCGUGAGUGAUGAAGGUCUUCGGAGCGUAAAACUCUGUUAUUAGUGAAGAACAUAUGUGUAAGGAACUGUGCACAUCGUGACGGUACCUAAUCAGAAAGCCACGGCUAACUACGUG